AUCCCUUGUCAGUCUCCUUGGAAUUCCUCUGGGCCUUUGGCACAUGGCAGUGUUUCAGUCCAGAAUCCCCCAGCUCUGGAGGAUUUCUGCUGGGGUCCCAGGCCCCUGCUGUUCCCCUGUUCCCACGCAACAUUUAAAUCAGGCAGUAGGGGCCAUGGCUGUCCUUUCUCCCUGGUAAAUUGAGAUAUUUCUGUGGAUGCAGUACUUUCAGGCUAGCUCUCCCACACCCCCGGAUACUGCAGAUGCCACCAGUCAACAGCUCUUCCAGCGUCUUCCCCGCUCAUCACGACUGCCAGAGAGAGCAGUUUACUUUAUGUUAUGAAAGGAGGGCUGUCAUUCUCACAAUCUGGGAAAGGAAACGGGCUUAGGUCAAAUAGUUUAUCUAAGGCUCUCCUGCCCAUCGAUGACCAGACUGAUGGCUUGGACCCCAAGCUGUACUCCGUGCACCCACCAGAGAAUUCGGACAGGAGUUAUGGCCUCGUAUUCGGAUCAGAAACCCAGAGCUGGCCAUUGAUUUUUAGAUGAGAGUGAAAGAAGAACAAAAUGAGAAAAGGAAGGGGCAGGGAGACAGACGAGAGACAUGAGACACACUACGAAGUAACGAUGCCCGAUGGUAUGAGCGAGGGAAAAUGUCAGCAGGGGCCCUGUGUUCACCUCAAAGCACUGAAGAAAAUGAAGUCCAGCUGGCUAUGUGAAAAGGAGACAAACAGGGCCGGGGAAGUAGCUCAGUGGUUCCACCGCCUGCCUCACAAGUACAGGGUCCUGAGUUCGAUCCUGGUACCAAAAAAAGAGAGAGAGCGCAAGAGACAUACAUUGAUGCAUUGCAGAGACAACAAAGGCUCCGGGUGCAAGACAGAAAAUAGGAAGGGAACGGCCCCGGCAGCCAGCGCGCUCUGAACUUGCUGGCUGGAAUGUCCUCUUUCCAGAGACGGCCUGUCUGAUCUACUGAUGGAAUUUGAGAAAUGUGACAUCCUCGUGUGGGUUUGAUCUCGCUGAUGAAGACAGUAAAUAUCUUAUUGUGGCUGGGAAGCUCAGGGUGGAAAACUUCUCUGGGGCCAUUUGAAGGAGGCCUGGGAUGCUGCUGCUGACAGAAAGGCCAAGCCUGUGAGGCUUCUCCCCGGCGGACUGCCUCCUUCUGCCCUGAGUAGCAUGUUUGCUCGGCUCGCUUCCACCAGGGGACAGGAAAGUGUCCAUGUGCAGCUAUGAAGAAAGGGUACUUCGCUGCAGGUCACCGCGUGUUGACUUCCAGCUUUCAGGUGUUUUGUAGACAGCCAGAUGUAAACGUUGCUCUUGAGAUGCGUUCGUGGAGUUGCUCUCGAUGCCUGUCGCCCACGCAUAGCCUCAAGGCUGUUAUUACAGACAGCUCUUGGUCCAGCCGCGGCUCUGUGUGGAGGCACGUGCUCAGGACACAGGACGGCCACGCAGUUUCCCACUCCCUGGGGAAUGGCUUAGGGAGCCUCAGUGUUUCCCACAGGGCUCGACCAGAAUCACA
rnacentral:lncRNA from 1 species